CCAGGGGACUAUUUUGUGCUAAAACAAGCCAAAGCCAUGAGCCAAAUCAACUGCUUCUAAAAAUCAGACAGCUUUUUAACCAACAUAUCAAAAUCUUAGCACACUGACUGAUUCCCUUGCAUGAUCCACCCUGGAGCAGUCGCCUGGUUGCUGAAGGAACGACUGAAAUAGGAGAAACCAUGGCCUGGUCACAAAAAACUCAACUUCAGGGAUGAGUGCAUGUGGGUUGCAUCCUGUAACCAGGUGAAGGCGAAUCUCCACCUGCAACUGUGAGACAGAGAGAGAGAGAGAGAGAGAGAGAGAGAGAGAGAGAGAGAGAGAGAGAGAGAGAGAGAUACCUGCUUGCUACUCAAAUGAACACAGGGGUAACAGUUGAGCUUGGCUAAGGCAAAGAGGGCUUCCUGGCUCUCUACAGUAAAUCACAACUUGGAAAGGCAGACAUCUUGACAGUGAGGUUUCUGUAACUGUUUGGUUGAAUGGCAUUGUGGAGCAAGAAAAGUUUGUUGGAUUUGUACGAGCACAUAUUCAAAUCAGCUCUAAACACAACCCUGACACUAUUAUUGUCAGGACACUCCUAUGAAGUAGGACACCAUACUUUAAAAGAUGGUGGCAGGAAGCAGAGAGAGGGUGAGUCCCCAGGCAGAGGGGAGCAGAGAGGAAACCAGGCUGAGGCCUGUCUGGUUCCUGGGUGUACCUCUGGCUGCUUCCUCUGCGUGGCACUCUGUCUCUCCCCAAGGUUCAGCAGGCUGCGGUCUCAGCCAGUGGCCCAGGCCCCCGGCCAUCGCGUGAGAUCCAGGCCAGGGGCACCUGGGGAAGCACGCCUAAGCAUGUGGUCUACAGAAAGGGAGAGACGUGCAGCUACGCACUCAGGGCGCACCCUGUGCCGGGCGCUGCGCUAUGCGCCAGUUGACAGGCACGCAAUGACUUAAUCUUGGCAAAAAUCCAAAGAUGGGGGAACCCUUAUUAUCCCCAUUUCACACAGGAAAGUGCUUUCCAGAGGCAACGAGGAGUGUCCCACAUCACACGGCCACAAAGUGGUGAACUGGGAUGGCCAACCCAGCUCCUCUGAUCCCUUUGUCGACGCUGCCUAGGCAACCUCUGACCAGCCCUCUGUGACAGUCCAGGGGGCUGCAGGGGGGGGUGGGGUCUUGAGGACAUGAUGAACCGGAGAAAAUAUUAAAUGUUGACAGUCACAGGAAGGGGAAAGACUGCCAGAACACUUGACGUGACAACUCUUUUUAACCCAAAACACCACAAGAGUCUUUGUAAGAACUGUAUGUCCUCCCGAGUCCAGCACUCGGGACAGAACUUACACGGAACACACUGGUACCUCUCCAAACACGUAUUCAGCCCCUGAUAACUCUAUGUUGCUCCAUCAAGUAUCUGAUCGUAGACGGGUUAGGUGUUUCAUGGAGAAUGAGAUUACUACAGGAGUUUGUAAUGGCGUAUAUUUCUAAAUAAAUCUAUUAACAGUAACCA
rnacentral:lncRNA from 1 species